rnacentral:misc_RNA from 1 species
GAUCACGCGCUCCUGGAUCGCGCGGAGCAGCUUGGAUUGAAGUCUGACAUCCAUUUCCGAGACUUCGUCGAGCAGCAGGGUGCCGCCGGUGGCUUCCUCGAACUUGCCGAUACGCCGGGCGAUCGCGCCGGUGAACGAGCCCUUCUCGUGGCCGAACAGUUCGGACUCCAAAAGGUGUUCCGGGAUGGCGGCGCAGUUGAUCGAGAUGAACGGCUUCCGGGCGCGGUUGGAGCGGGUGUGGAC